rnacentral:tRNA from 2 species
GUGGGUAAGGAAAACCGGCAGGGGUUAACGCCCCUCGUGAGUUCGAAUCUCACCGCCUCCGCCA